rnacentral:miRNA from 1 species
GACUGAUGUUGUUGUUUGCA